AGCUUUGCGAAGUGGAGAUAUCGUAACCAAUGAGGAUUUUCCGAGGUGCGAUUAUUGCUAGUUGAGGAGAAGAAGUUAAGUGCAUUUUAAGAAUGUGAUGUCAUCCUGAGGAUGACAUCAGUAGAUGUCAUCCUCAAUGAAACCUUCUCAGAAG